ACAUUGAAACACCAGUUCCUGUAUGAUCACCAAAGUUAAGCAACAUUGAACCUGGUCAGUACCUAGAUGGGUGACGACUUGGAAAUACCAGUUGCUGUAAG
rnacentral:rRNA from 1 species